UUGCUACUUUACCUAGCGGCGGACGGGUGAGUAAUGCUUAGGAAUCUGCCUAUUAGUGGGGGACAACAUCUCGAAAGGGAUGCUAAUACCGCAUACGUCCUACGGGAGAAAGCAGGGGACCUUCGGGCCUUGCGCUAAUAGAUGAGCCUAAGUCGGAUUAGCUAGUUGGUGGGGUAAAGGCCUACCAAGGCGACGAUCUGUAGCGGGUCUGAGAGGAUGAUCCGCCACACUGGGACUGAGACACGGCCCAGACUCCUACGGGAGGCAGCAGUGGGGAAUAUUGGACAAUGGGGGGAACCCUGAUCCAGCCAUGCCGCGUGUGUGAAGAAGGCCUUUUGGUUGUAAAGCACUUUAAGCGAGGAGGAGGCUACCGAGAUUAAUACUCUUGGAUAGUGGACGUUACUCGCAGAAUAAGCACCGGCUAACUCUGUGCCAGCAGCCGCGGUAAUACAGAGGGUGCAAGCGUUAAUCGGAUUUACUGGGCGUAAAGCGCGCGUAGGUGGCCAAUUAAGUCAAAUGUGAAAUCCCCGAGCUUAACUUGGGAAUUGCAUUCGAUACUGGUUGGCUAGAGUAUGGGAGAGGAUGGUAGAAUUCCAGGUGUAGCGGUGAAAUGCGUAGAGAUCUGGAGGAAUACCGAUGGCGAAGGCAGCCAUCUGGCCUAAUACUGACACUGAGGUGCGAAAGCAUGGGGAGCAAACAGGAUUAGAUACCCUGGUAGUCCAUGCCGUAAACGAUGUCUACUAGCCGUUGGGGUCUUUGAGACUUUAGUGGCGCAGCUAACGCGAUAAGUAGACCGCCUGG
rnacentral:rRNA from 1 species